AUGGCGGCGGUGAAGACCCUAAAUCCCAAGGCCGAGGUGGCCCGGGCCCAGGCAGCGCUGGCGGUGAACAUCAGCGCGGCUCGGGGCCUGCAGGAUGUUCUGAGGACCAACUUGGGUCCUAAGGGCACCAUGAAGAUGCUUGUAUCUGGUGCUGGGGACAUCAAACUUACUAAAGAUGGCAAUGUGCUGCUCCAUGAAAUGCAAAUUCAACACCCAACAGCCUCUUUGAUAGCAAAAGUGGCUACAGCCCAGGAUGACAUAACUGGCGAUGGCACUACAUCCAAUGUCCUCAUCAUUGGGGAGCUGCUCAAACAGGCGGAUCUGUACAUUUCUGAAGGUCUUCAUCCAAGAAUAAUAACUGAAGGUUUUGAAGCUGCAAAAGAAAAGGCACUCCAAGUUUUGGAACAAGUCAAAGUAAGCAAAGAGAUGGACAGAGAAACACUCAUCGAUGUGGCCAAGACAUCUCUGCGAACUAAAGUUCAUGCUGAACUUGCAGACGUCUUGACAGAGGCUGUAGUGGACUCCAUCUUGUCCAUUAGGAAAAAAGACGAGCCCAUUGACCUCUUCAUGGUUGAGAUCAUGGAGAUGAAGCAUAAAUCUGAAACCGAUACAAGCUUAAUCAGAGGGCUGGUUUUGGAUCAUGGGGCUCGGCAUCCUGAUAUGAAGAAAAGAGUAGAAAAUGCCUACAUCCUCACGUGCAACGUGUCCUUAGAGUACGAGAAAACAGAAGUGAAUUCUGGGUUUUUUUACAAGAGUGCAGAAGAGAGAGAAAAACUAGUAAAGGCUGAAAGAAAAUUCAUUGAAGAUAGAGUUAAAAAAAUCAUAGAACUGAAAAAGAAAGUCUGUGGUGACUCAGAUAAAGGAUUUGUCGUUAUUAAUCAAAAGGGGAUUGACCCCUUUUCUUUAGAUGCCCUUGCGAAAGAAGGUAUCGUAGCUCUGCGCAGAGCCAAGAGGAGAAACAUGGAAAGGCUGACACUUGCUUGUGGUGGGAUAGCUCUGAAUUCCUUUGAUGACCUGAAUCCUGACUGUUUGGGACAUGCAGGGCUUGUCUAUGAGUAUACUCUGGGUGAGGAGAAGUUCACCUUUAUUGAGAAGUGUAACAAUCCCCGUUCUGUCACUUUACUGGUUAAAGGACCAAAUAAGCACACACUGACUCAAAUCAAGGAUGCAAUAAGAGAUGGCUUGAGGGCUGUCAAAAAUGCUAUUGAUGAUGGCUGUAUUUUAUGGAACUCAGAACCUUUGGAAGAGCAGUCAGUAAUUGCUGAACCAUCUCUCCAAACCCCUGGGAACUUUUUAAAAUUGGAAAUACAUUUUAUUUCUUCUGGCUUAACCCUCAGUUUUCAGGUUCUUGCGCAAAACUCUGGUUUUGACCUUCAGGAAACAUUAGUUAAAGUUCAAGCUGAGCAUUCAGAAUCCGGUCAGCUCGUAGGUGUGGAUCUGAGCACAGGUGAGCCGAUGGUGGCAGCAGAAAUGGGUGUGUGGGAUAACUACUGCGUGAAGAAGCAGCUGCUGCACUCCUGUACUGUGAUCGCCACCAACAUUCUCCUGGUCGACGAGAUCAUGAGAGCCGGGAUGUCCUCUCUGAAGGGUUGA
ensembl:processed_transcript